UACGGGGGGAGCAAGCGUUGUUCGGAAUUAUUGGGCGUAAAGCGCGUGUAGGCGGCCAGAAAAGUUGGGUGUGAAAGCCCUCGCUUAACCGAGGAAGUGCGCCCAAAACUGUUUGGCUUGAGUACCGGAGAGGAUGGUGGAAUUCCCGGUGUAGAGGUGAAAUUCGUAGAUAUCGGGAGGAACACCAGUGGCGAAGGCGACCAUCUGGACGGAUACUGACGCUGAGACGCGAAAGCGUGGGUAGCAAACGAGG
rnacentral:rRNA from 1 species